rnacentral:rRNA from 1 species
GGAGUAACACGUAGAGUAACCUGCCCCACGACUCUGGGAUAACCCCGGGAAACCGGAGCUAAUACCGGAUACGACACGAAGAGGCAUCUCUAUCGUGUGGAAAGUUUUUCGGUCUGGGAUGGACUCGCGGCCUAUCAGCUUGUUGGUGAGGUAACGGCUCACCAAGGCGACGACGGGUAGCCGGCCUGAGAGGGCGACCGGCCACACUGGGACUGAGACACGGCCCAG